UCCACCUGUCUGGCGCCCGACCUCAAAGCGAGCACUCGCACCUAACCAUCGCCGGUGUUUCACGAGAGACAGACGGGUAAACACCAAGGUAAGGCUGACGAAUCCCCGCGCAAUGACUCGCUACCUCUUCCACCCCACCAACCUGAACGAGCGCAACAAGAUCGUCUCCAUGUGGUUUAACGGGAUGUCCACUCGAACUAUCGCGCGGGAGGUGGGCGUCAGUCCUUCAACAGUGUGCAGGUGGAUCAACCGGUGGAAGCAAGAGUGCAACGUGUACAACAGACCUCGCGCUUACCACCUGUGCUACGCGAGGCUGGCAAUGGGCCACGCGUACAGCCCUUACAUGUAGGCAGUUCUUAAACCCGUACUCUGAAACACUUUGCUCUCACCAUGGCUAUUUUCAAACACACCGCAGAUAUUAGAAGUCAGAUUCUCAAGAGUUUUUCUCCUGUUAAUGAAGUAGAAAUCUUUGUUAAUCUAUCACCAAAACCUUUAAACACUCUAAAAGUCUCUAUAACUUGAUCUAUAGUCUUUUAAAAGUAGGUAUAGGAUGCAAAAAUGUUUCAGAAUACAGUCCUUAAAGUUACAGCACUCGUUCUGAAUACCUAUUGACUCUAUGAUUGUUUCUAACGACUUAUAUUCCUAAUCCUUGUUUAAUUAUAUUUUUGUUUAUACAAUGUAUGCAUGUGCAAGAUUUAAAUCCUUGUGCAAAUUCAAAUUUGUUUAUUCUUGAUAUAAACGAACUCCAGAAAAUUAAACUCAGUCGAUAUCUGCACACGUUAUACCAAUUUAUAAACUAAGGAACCACACUGAAGCGCUUUUUUUAUAUAUACAAAUAUGCAAGAUGAUCAUUGGUGUUGUGUUCUCGGCUGAUUCAGUGAUGAAUUUUAAUAACGAAAUAUCGGCAUUCUCCUCUGCCCCAACACUGUCCUGAGUAAAACACCUAACACACGUUCAGUUUGUAAAGCAUCAACUGACGUGUACUAAAUGGUGUUCUCUCUACUAAUGGUGGCAGCACCAAGACUUCCCUCAGGUAAUAACAUUAUGGUCGACUCAAAUUAGCUCUUCAUAGUUAAAAGAAAUGUCAAAUAACUAACGAUUAACCAACAAGCAUGUUACUUUACUGAAACUUGUUCUCAAAUUAAUAUCAGCGCUGUUAAUGUUUCAACUGUACUUAAUAAAUAUUUCCACAAGUACAACUAAGUGUAUGACAUCCGAGUGAGAGCAUUAAAAUUAUGAUCAUCGUUGAAUGAGAAUUUUUGUAAGUAAAGUUUUGUCUCAGCUACCUCUAAAAGGAGAAUGUCAGGCUGGUAAAUACAGUUCUUCUUAUUGUAAAAAUAACUGUUAAAUAAAGUCCCGUUUCUCUUG